rnacentral:lncRNA from 1 species
ACCAGGGCAGGGCUGGCUCCCACAGAUUCAGGGUCUCAGUCUGCCACCCUAGCUGGAGUGCAGUGGUGUGAUCAUCGCUCACUGAAGCCUGGAACUCCUGGGCUCAAGUUUCCUCCUGCAUCAGCCUAAGUAGCUGGGACUACAGGUGUGCAUCACCACCGUGCCUGGCCUGAAAAUAUUUAUUGAAAACCACCUUGUGUACAGAGUGCUGUGGAAGGAUGAAGAAGACAUUGGAGAUCUUCAUUCUGUUGUUGAGGAACUACCAUCUAAAUUGGAGCUGAAAGCCUGUGAAAAUUGAUGUAAAUGCUUAUGAAAUAGCGGAGAAAGGACAAAUGAGCACUUCGACAAAGAAAGGGGAGGGACAGGAUAUUUUGUGUUUCUUCCCACUCUGACAGUGGCUGCCAG